UGAACCGCGGAGUCGGUGCUGAAGGAGCCGAUGGAGAAACACGCCGCUUCGGUCAUUCGCUGUUCCAGUGUCUCUUUGAAAAGCUCAUGACUUCAGGAAGGUUGGCCGUGUGUAUGUUUGCGGGCCAGAGUCACGUGGAUUUUAGGGUGUCACACAAAGAGUUCAGGGUUGUUUGACCGCCAAGUUGAGAGACACCUAGCCGUUAGGCUAACACGAUGCUAGCUAGCUGGCUAACGUCGCUAACGUCAGAUUGAAGACAGAAGACCAGAAACAACUUAUCCAGUUUGAGCAGCAGCAAGCAGGUCCAGUGAGGAGAUUCUACCAGAGACCCUGCUGGAAAACCAAGAUGAACUUCCAGAUGUCUGGACAUCAUUGCUGUGUGAAGACUGAAGAGAACAGAUGCUAUUCCAAAUGUCUGGACAUUGUUGCUGUGUGAAGACUGGUGAAGAGAAGAAGUUACAAGUAAGUCUGUCAUCGAUAAAUAAGGAUGGAAAAAGGUGGUCUGUGUGCGUGCACAGGUUGUGUGCUCUCGACCUCACUCUCGCUGCUCUUCUCGGUUGCGGAUUGCAAGAAGUGCCUGGAAUGCAGGCCGGUAAUGUCCCUCCUGCAACAGAGUUUAUUCUAAUGCGUAGCCAAAGUUUUUUGUUGUGGCUACGCUACUGAUCUAGCUACUGUAUUGUUGCGUUACCGUAAUAUAAAGCUAACUGCGCCAGCAAAAUGCUAACUAAACAUUGGACAGUCCAUCACUGAGGACACUUACUUACUGUAAGGUAAGUAAAUACAUUUUUUACUGUUGCUUCUUGUACAAAUAUUAGUGUUACUGCUUGUUUUGUGGCAAGCAGUGAUCUUGUGUAAAGUGCACUUUAGGCCACUUUUAAUCACUUUGAAUUUAUUUAAUAAUUAUAUUAACAGUUUUUUAACAGUUUAUGAUUAGCAGUCACCGAAGUAGUUAGAUCUGGCAUGUAAUGCGAUUUCUAAAGCCAUUUCUGUAACGUUGCUGUUAUGAUAAUGAAGUGAUUAUUAGGAUGGGUUUUAGCUGUCUGUCUGAGCUAAAUUUGAAUUGCUGGGCACUAACUAUCUCUGUACAACCAAAAAUGAUCUUGAGAGGACACAAAGUGUUUCGAUAAGGACUUUGGAAAGUUGAUCAUUUUACAGCGUUUUGCAUUUUUUUCUGUUCAGAUUCGAUAAGAGAAGCCUGUUACUCCUCCUGCUAACCAGACACAGAAGGAUUUCAUCUUUGAGAAUUGAACAUUUCAGCGAAAUCUUUACCUUAAACCUAAAGUUUUUUAAUACAGAGCUAGAAUAUUUCAGGGACACAUCAAGAUAAUGUUACUGCAUCUAACCUUCUGGUAACACAGACUGUUCCACCACGAUGUUGGUUAAUGUUGAACUGCUUCGUCACUGAGGUACAAAUUCAAGCCAAAGGCAACUGCAGGACUUAAAGCAUGCAGGUCCAGUAAAGAGAUUCUAUCAGAGACCCUGCUGGAAAACAAAGAUGCAAUUCCAAAUGUUGGGACAUCAUUGCUGUGUGAAAAGUAGCUAAGAGAAGACGUUACAAGUAAGUGUUAAGAUAAAUAAGGAUUGUAAAAGGAUGAGAACAAGGGAUGUGGAGGCUGUGUUCCCUCACCUAUGUUUGCAUCAGGGAAACAUGGGCAUGGAGAAGCAUAAAUAAAUUUCCUCCCAAUUUCUCUCUCUCAAAAAAGCCCAUCUCUCUGUGUGUGUGUGCACAGAUUGUUUGCUCUCGACUUCACUCCCGGUGCUCUUCUCGGUUGCGGCUUUGUUAUUUUAUGUGCCUCCUGCAACAGAGUUUAUUCUGUUGGCACAUCCAGUUCACCUGAGGAGUAGCCAGUGGCUACACUACUGAUCUAACUACUGUACUGUUGCGGUUCUGUAACGCUAACACAGACUGCGCCAACAAUGCCAACUAAUAUUGGACUGUCCAUCACUUAGGACAACUGUAAGGUAAGUUAUACAUUUGAACCGUCACUACUGAUGUACAACAACCGGACUGUCCGUCACUGAGGAUGCCUUUAAGGUAAUAAUUUUUUUUACUCUUCUAUUUUUUGUACACAUAUUAGUGCUAAUGUGUUGUUUUGUGGCAAGCUGUGAGCUUGUGUUAAGUUUAAUCACUUCAUUAUUAAUUAACUGCAUUAAUUAACAGUUUAUGAUUAGCUGUAAUUGAAGUAGUUAGACCUGUCACGUCACGCGAUCACUUAAGAUAAUGAAGACAUUAGAGAGAUGAGUUUUAGCUGUCUGUUCUUACAACUUGAGUUACAUUUGAACCGUUUGGCUUUAACUACUGCUGUAGGAGUCCGUUUUGUCUUUGUUCUAUUUAGAUAUUUUUGGGGGCAUUUUGUCUUUAUUUGAGAAACAGGACAGGGGAGAGAUUUAGUGGGUCACAUACAGCUAAUGGCCGUAGGUUGGACUCAAACCUGGGCCACUGCAGUAGAGGGCUCUCUACCAAGUGAGCUAACCACGCUACAGUGUAGUUUGAUUUUUGAGGGGUUUUUUUGCCACAGACUUAAAAACAUUGCAGAGACACAACAAGUAAUGUUACUGCAACUAGCUUUGUGGUAACACAGACUGCACCAACAUGAUGUUGGCUAAUGUUGGACUGCUUCAUCACUGAGGUACAAAUUCAAGCAACUGCAGAACAACUCUAAGGUAAGAACAUUUUUGUUAUGCUGUUGUAUUUCUUGUGCUGUCGUUGUGUUGCUGGUUCAUGGCUUUGUGUUGUGGUUUGUCGUGAACAGAGAGCUCCAGUGAUUUGCUCUUUACUGCACCUUCUACUUGAAGUUGAACAGUUUAUUUUUCUGCGGUGACCGUGCUUGCUAUGUUAGUGAUUUCCAGCUGACAUGAAUUUUUGCUACUGACUGACAAGUUUAAUUUGGUAAAUCACUGUGGUUGAUGGCCAACAUUAUGUGGGCUUGUUGUAAAAGGAAAGAAAAUAUGUCUUUGUAUUAAUUCACAAUAUACAACAUGACUUUCUCCAGUUGGUUCUGCAUCAGGGCUAGUUGACAGUGCUUCUCCUAGAAAUGUUGGCCGCUGCUGCCAUGAUAAAUGGCCUUUCUGCUCUGUUUGUGGCUGUGAUUGAAGUUGUUUUCAUACAGUGUCAUACAGUGUGAGCACUUAAACUGUCCACUGAAAUGUUGCUGGAAUGAAGAUGAUGAUGAUGUGGGUGAUCAGAUCAUUAUUUAAAUGUUAUUAAUUCUUUUGACAAUUUGGAAAAUUGACAAUUCCACAGCCACAUUUAUUGCUUGUUGGCAUUUUUCUGGUCAUAUUUAACAAGGAAGACACAACUGUUGCUCCUCAUUUGUUCUGCCAACUGGAAGCACAAGGCCUUUCAUGUUCUGACAUUUCAGCUCAAUGUUUCCAAGGACCAUUAAGUUGUUUCAAAAGUUGUUUUGCCACUGACAUGUGACAAAGACCACCGAAUGUUGCUGUAGCGUGUUGCUAAUGUAGGCUGCUUGAACUCCUUCUGCACUCUGAAAGGUAAGUACAAAUUCAACCACAAGGCCGUCACUGGACAACAAUGAGGUAAGAAUUUAUUUAUACUGUAUUUCUUGGGGCAAAUACUGAUAAGCCCCCCAGCCUAACCCUAUCCUGAAAACAAAGCUGUUUUGUGAGUUUCUGAAAAGUAGUCAUUUUGGGCAAAUAAUAUUUGCACUGCCUGUGGCCAAACUGUUGACAGGUGUAACCAGUGAUCACUCAUGGCUUGCUUAUGAUGGAUAGAAGAGAUGUGUGAAGGAGCAGCCUUAGCUUGCAGUCUGCUCAGUGUUGGAGCAGGUAUAAUUCAGUCAGAGAUGGGCUUUUCUCCCAAUCAAUGGAACUUGUUGCUCUGUUUCCUUUUGACUGGAACAUGGGUUGUCUGUUGAUUAUCAUCAGUUGUAUUCAUGGACUACGCACAGAUAGCUACUUCUGCUUUUAUUCACAUACCUUUCUUUCUAGUUACCUUGCCUGGCUGAUAAGUGAAUGCUAAGUAUCUUGUUUUGU